rnacentral:rRNA from 1 species
UACGGAGGGUGCAAGCGUUAAUCGGAAUUACUGGGCGUAAAGCGUGCGUAGGCGGUUAUUUAAGUCAGGUGUGAAAGCCCCGGGCUCAACCUGGGAAUUGCAUUUGAGACUGAAUAGCUAGGGUGCGGAAGAGGGAAGCGGAAUUUCCGGUGUAGCGGUGAAAUGCGUAGAUAUCGGAAGGAACACCAGUGGCGAAAGCGGCUUCCUGGUCCAGAACUGACGUUCAGGCACGAAAGCGUGGGGAGCAAACGGG